CAGGAGGCAUUAAAAAUUAAACAAGAGAAGAGUCGAUCAGCUUCCAAUCUCGGGUUUAUAGACAGGAAAAUGCUUAAUGACAGGUGGUCUCUGUACCAGAGGUGGCCUCUGAGAGACAUUUCUCUUGAUUUUAUUUUUUAAUUAACUUUUAUUUUCAGUAUUUUGUCCCCCUUUUCUGCCCCCAAUGGAAUAAUAUUUAAAUGAUAAAAGGCUCACCGCUGUUUCCAGAGCAGCCCAGACCACCUCUCCACCCAGCUGCAAGGGGAGGGAAUCUUUAAAGAUCACUCUGUUUUGGAAUUCUACUGUUGCCAAGUGGCACACAUGGAUUCUCAUCAUAUGGCUCCCAACUGCAGUUCUUUAAGCUAAAGAGUGCAGUUCUUCACCGCUUCCUUGUGACAGUCUCCUAAUUACCCAUUCUGAGCCCUCUGAAACAGCAUUCCUCCUAGUUAAGGAUCUCUGCCAUCACCGCAAGACACCAGCACACCACAUGUGCUAAAGUGGAUUUCUUAUCCUGCUCCAAGUUAGCCAAGAGCGUCUGUACAACCACUGGGAAGUCAACUUCACUUCAGAUCUCGCCUGCACCUCUCCACUCUAUGGUCUGCCCAGGAGCUAAUGGAUUUGGAGAUGUAGCAGACCUGGAGCUAAUUCUAUCCUGCUGCUUAUUAGUGAGGCAGUCUUGGGCAGAGAGAACACUGACUCAGUUGAAAGUGCUCAGAAAGUCUUGACCUCAUAGAAUUCUUGCAAGUAUUAAAUGAGAAAAUGAAUAUAAAAGACUCAGCAGAGCACGUGACAUAAAGUAAGGACUAAAGAAAGAGAGGAUGUUGUUGCUACAAAUAUCACUACCUCCAGUUGUCAAAAUCCUUUCAUCAUGUCAAAAGUUAAUCCAAAUGCAACCUCCAAGGUUAAUGUAUUUGGAAGCGCUCUUUCCCCUCUGAACUGUAGAGCUAAAUUGCAUAGAGGGGAUUUCUCACAUAUAGCUAUUCC
rnacentral:lncRNA from 1 species